ACACUCCUGCGGGAGGCAGCAGUGGGGAAUUUUGGACAAUGGGCGAAAGCCUGAUCCAGCCAUGCCGCGUGCAGGAUGAAGGCCUUCGGGUUGUAAACUGCUUUUGUACGGAACGAAACGGCCUUUUCUAAUAAAGAGGGCUAAUGACGGUACCGUAAGAAUAAGCACCGGCUAACUACGUGCCAGCAGCCGCGGUAAUACGUAGGGUGCAAGCGUUAAUCGGAAUUACUGGGCGUAAAGCGUGCGCAGGCGGUUAUGUAAGACAGUUGUGAAAUCCCCGGGCUCAACCUGGGAACUGCAUCUGUGACUGCAUAGCUAGAGUACGGUAGAGGGGGAUGGAAUUCCGCGUGUAGCAGUGAAAUGCGUAGAUAUGCGGAGGAACACCGAUGGCGAAGGCAAUCCCCUGGACCUGUACUGACGCUCAUGCACGAAAGCGUGGGGAGCAAACAGGAUUAGAUACCCCAGUAGUCCC
rnacentral:rRNA from 1 species